UACGGAGGGUGCAAACGUUGCUCGGAAUCAUUGGGCGUAAAGCGCAUGUAGGCGGUCCAGCAAGUCGGGUGUGAAAGCCCUCGGCUUAACCGAGGAAGUGCAUUCGAAACUACUGGACUUGAGUACUGAAGAGGGUCGCGGAAUUCCCGGUGUAGAGGUGAAAUUCGUAGAGAUCGGGAGGAACACCAGUGGCGAAGGCGGAGACCUGGGCCAAUACUGACGCUGAGGUGCGAAAGCGUGGGGAGCAAACAGG
rnacentral:rRNA from 1 species